GGUGCCGUGGUAUAGUGUUUAGAACUCAGGACUUUAAAUCCUGCGACGAGAGUUCAAAUCUCCCCGGAACCU
rnacentral:tRNA from 1 species